CCAGUACUAAGUCACAUGCGGUUUAUUUGGAUUUCCUUAUAAUCGUCGGCAUUUUGUGACUAUUAAAGUGUUUGGUGUUCCGGUAAUAACUUAUUGUCCAUUGCGAGUUUGUAAAGUGCGUGUUUGUUUAUUCGCUCGCGGGUGAUGUGCUCAUUGUUCAGCUUCUACUCUAGGUCGGGGCACUACUAACUUUACUCAAGUCCACAACAGCAUUGUAGAUACACCUAUACUAUUCUUUCUUUAAUCAUCCGCUAUAUUGGUGAGUUUUAAACACGAACCCAUCACUAGUACAUUUUUAUCUUUAAUUGCAUGUGACGAUAGUAUCGAAAUUCGACCUGUAACCCGCGAAAAUUUCCAUAUAAGAGCAAUUUUUCAACCCUUUUUCGUGAAAUGUUUAUGUAUUUUCAGGUUUGCACGCGAUCUAGGCAGCGCAGUAACCUUAACGGACCAUCUAGAGAUGUGGACUUAAAUUCUACGUCGGGGGGUAUUUAAUUGUUGCAGGAAUUCGACCUGCAACCCUUUUUCGUGAAAUGUUUGUGUUUUUUUGGGUUUGCACGUGGUCUAGAGAUGCGGAAUUAAAUUCUCCGUCGGGCUGUAUUUAUUUGUUGAUGGAAUUCGACCUGCAACUCGAGAAAAUUUGAAUUAAAAGGUAAUCUUUUCACUCUUUAUCGGGAAAUAUUUGUAUUUUUCGCGUUUGCACGCGAUUUUGUCGGCUCACUAACUUCAGCACGCCGUAUUGAGAUGCAGAAUUAAAUUCACCACCGGGUGGUAUUUAAUUGUUGCAGGAAUUCGACCUGCAACCCGCGAAAAUUUGCAUAUAUGUGUGUUAUUUUUCAACCCUUUUUCGUGAAAUAUUUGUGUUUUUUCGGGUUUGCGCGCGAUCUAGGCGGCGCAGUAAUUUCAGCGGGACUUACGGAGAUGCGGAAUUAAAUUCUUCGUCGGGUGGUAUAUAAAUGUUGCUGGAUUUCAACUUGCAACCCGCGAAAAUUUGCAUAUAAGUGUAAUUUUUCAACUAUUUUAUGUGAAAUGUUUGUGUUUUUUCGGGUUUGCAGGCGAUCUUGGAGGCGCAGUAAUUUCAGCGGGGCAUCCUGAGAUAUGGAAUUAAAUUCUCUGUCGGGUGCUAUUUAAUUGUUGCAGGAAUUCGACCUGCAACCCGCAAAAAUUUGCAUAUAAUUGUUAUUUUUCAACCCUUUUUCGUGAAAUAUUUGUAUUUUGUCGGGUUUGCACGCGAUCUAGGCGGCGCAGUCAUUUCAGCGGGGCGUUCGGAGAUGCGGAAUUAAAUUCUCCGUCGGGUGGUAAUUGUUGGUUGCAGGAAUUCGACCUGCAACUACUUAUGACAUCCCAAAGCCAAUAAAUUAUUUUCUUAUGUCGAGAAAUAUUGAAAGUAAAAGUUGAUUUUGUGGAUGUUGGUUAUUUCAACAUUGUGAAAUUUUAGUUUGGUUGUUUUAACAACGAGUUUAUCAGUUUGUGUAUAAACAAUUUUUAUUGUUCGACUGACCCGUAUUAUCGCUACGUACCAGCCUUGUACCUGGUUAAGCGAAGCGCACACGGCAGUCGUUUCACCGCGUGGUCCGCGUACGUGUCUCUCUGAUCGCCAUGCGUUUCGAGGUUUUAAUUGGAUUAAUCGUCGUGUACUUUUUCGACCAUCAGCAAAGUAUUCGCAAUGUCUUGUUUAAUGAUUUGUGGCGUUUAGAGUUUUCUUAAAUAAGUAAUAAAUGUCCAUUAAUCUGUGCGUAUGUUUUCAAUUGAUAGAAUAUAUUUCUGGAUAUAAAAUCCCUUCAUCAAUGCAUAGGUAGGUGUGUAAUUAAUUUUUAACGCAAAGUUACGCCGGUUUAACUUAAAUUGAUUAGUCUAUUUGAGUGAUAUGAAAUUUGCAUGUAUCGUCUUACAAAUUACAAACACAUGGUAGUGUUUAGAGUUUUUUGUUUGCACUUUAAGUUUCCUUUUGCAACACCCUGUAUAUUUGUUUUCAUUUUCAAUCACGUAGAAAAUUGACAAUUUGCUAAUUCCUUUGUCCCUAUAGAACUCUACUUAGUGAUACUUGCUUAUAAGUGCGCGGCUAAGCAGGUCGUAAGUCCUGUUUCAAUAUGGCGACAUGUAUUUUGUUGACUUGUAAAAUCUAAACUUGUAUUUUAUUAUUAAUAAAGAAAUGUUAAGAAA